UACGUAGGGUGCGAGCGUUGUCCGGAAUUAUUGGGCGUAAAGGGCUCGUAGGCGGUCUGUCGCGUCUGCCGUGAAAGUCCGGGGCUCAACUCCGGAUCUGCGGUGGGUACGGGCAGACUAGAGUGAUGUAGGGGAGACUGGAAUUCCUGGUGUAGCGGUGAAAUGCGCAGAUAUCGGGAAGAACACCAGUGGCGAAAGCGCUCUACUGGGCCAUAACUGACACUGAGGGACGAAAGCUAGGGGAGCGAAAGGG
rnacentral:rRNA from 1 species